AUAUAUAUAUAUAUAUAUAUAUAUAUAAUAUAUUAUAAUUUUUUCUUUUUUUCUUUUUUAUUUUGUAUAGAAAAAAAAAAGAAAUAAAAUAAUAAAAUUUAUUUAAGCUAUGCAUGCUUUUUAACUAUUGAUAGUUUUUUUUUUUUUAUAAUAUAAAAUGUUGUUUUUAGCUAUGUUGCUCAAAUAUUUUUAAAUUAGAAUUAUUUUUCUUUAUGAUUUUUAUUCUGAUGUUUUAAAGAAUAUUAUCAUAAAAGAAACAUAUUAUUUACCAUAUUAAUGUUUAUGUAUUUUCAUAAAUUGUGUAAAGUCAUCAUAUUCUGUAUAAUGUAACAUAGUUAAUAUAUUAAAAUAGUUUUUAUAGGCUUCGCUUAUAAAUUUGAAUGUCAUUAUUUUACAUCUUCUAUUGCUCCUAUUUGUCAUUUCUAUUUAUUCCUUUUUUUUUUUAUUUAUUUUAGUUUAUGUUAUUUUAUUUUAUUUUUUUAUUCUAUAUUUUUUAUGCUUAAAAAAAAAUAUGUAUUCAAAAAUAUAAACAGAUAAAAAAUAAAAAAAAUGUAUAUAUUUACAUAUAUAUGAAUAUGUAUAUAUAUAUACAUAUUUUUUUUUUUUUUUUCACUAAUUUAUAAUCAGUGCAAACGUUAGAACCUAAACACUUGUGAAGUUUAUAACUGUGUCUUAUGUUCAAUUUCUAGUAGUUCUAAAUAUUAUAUAUAUUUGUUCAUGUGUUUAACUCUGAUAAGAAAAAAAUGGGGCUAAAUAAAAAAGAAGACCAAAAUAUAAAUUUGGAUGAUUUACAAGCUGACCCUUCGUUUAAGGAAGAAGCCAUACGAGUGUGUACUCGUAUGAGACCUUUAUUUGAAAAAGAAAUCAAUAGUGGACACUUAAAAGCUUGGAAAAUGAAUGAAACUGAUAUGCAGUUGAUAGUUGAACCACUUUCUUUAACAGAAAUGUUAAAUGCGAGAACUCCUAAAACAAAGAAUAAAUCUGAUGUUAAAAAGAACGUAGAAAAGACGGAGGGACAAAAAGCGGUUAUACAACGGGUUUUUGCUUUUGAUAGGUGUUUCGAUGAUAUAGGUAAUUGAAUAAAAUUGUUAUUUUAUAGAAAGUAUUAAAUAUAUUUACAUAGUCUUUUUUUUUUUUUUUUUUUUUUUACAUGUACAUUUUCUAAUUUUAUUUCCUUUUUUUAUCGUAAUUUUUUUUUUGUACUCUUAAUUUUUUUUUUAUUCUUAAUUUUUUUUUUUUUUUUUUUUGUUUUAAUUAUUACCCAUUUUUGGUAGUUUAACCCAUGAUAGAUUAUUCAUCAUUUACGCGUAUGUGUUAAUACACAUAAGUGUGCAUAUAAAACACUCGUAUACAUGUUAAUAUCACAAUUUUUAUUAUGUUUUACAGUUGGAAAUGAAGAAGUGUACAAUCAUUUAGCAAGAGACAUAAUUAUUGAUACAUUUAAAGGUAUUAAUGGGUGCAUUCUCGCUUAUGGUCAAACGGGAUCUGGAAAAACACAUACUGUUAUGGGUAUUCCGUCUGAUCCAGGUAUGUUACCUAGAUCGCUAGCAGAAUUUUUUAAUGGCAUUGAAAACCCUUCCU
ensembl:lncRNA